rnacentral:rRNA from 1 species
UACGUAGGGCGCAAGCGUUAUCCGGAAUUAUUGGGCGUAAAGAGCUCGUAGGCGGUUUGUCGCGUCUGCCGUGAAAGUCCGGGGCUCAACUCCGGAUCUGCGGUGGGUACGGGCGGACUGGAGUGUUGCAGGGGAGACUGGAAUUCCUGGUGUAGCGGUGAAAUGCGCAGAUAUCAGGAGGAACACCGGUGGCGAAGGCGGGUCUCUGGGCAACUACUGACGCUGAGGAGCGAAAGCGUGGGGAGCGAACAGG